rnacentral:rRNA from 1 species
GAUGAACGCUGGCGGCGUGCUUAACACAUGCAAGUCGAACGGAAAGGCUCCUCCUUUCUGGGGUGCUCGAGUGGCGAACGGGUGAGUAACACGUGAGUAAUCUGCCCUGGACUUUGGGAUAACUCCAGGAAACUGGGGCUAAUACCGGAUAGGAGCUCGUUCUGGAUGGCGUUGUUUGGAAUUUUUCGGCGGUUGGGGAUGGUCUCGCGGCUUAUCAGCUUGUUGGUGGGGUAGUGGCUUACCAAGGCCUUGACGGGUAGCCGGCCUGAGAGGGUGCACGGCCACAUUGGGACUGAGAUACGGCCCAGACUCCUACGGGAGGCAGCAGUGGGGAAUAUUGCACAAUGGGCGGAAGCCUGAUGCAGCGACGCCGCGUGCGGGAUGACGGCCUUCGGGUUGUAAACCGCUUUCGCCAGUGACGAAGCGUAAGUGACGGUAACUGGUGAAGAAGCACCGGCUAACUACGUG